rnacentral:rRNA from 1 species
CCUACGGGGGGCAGCAGUGGGGAAUAUUGCACAAUGGGCGCAAGCCUGAUGCAGCCAUGCCGCGUGUGUGAAGAAGGCCUUCGGGUUGUAAAGCACUUUCAGCGGGGAGGAAGGCGGUGAGGUUAAUAACCUCAUCGAUUGACGUUACCCGCAGAAGAAGCACCGGCUAACUCCGUGCCAGCAGCCACGGUAAUACGGAGGGUGCGAGCGUUAAUCGGAAUUACUGGGCGUAAAGCGCACGCAGGCGGUCUGUCAAGUCGGAUGUGAAAUCCCCGGGCUCAACCUGGGAACUGCAUUCGAAACUGGCAGGCUAGAGUCUUGUAGAGGGGGGUAGAAUUCCAGGUGUAGCGGUGAAAUGCGUAGAGAUCUGGAGGAAUACCGGUGGCGAAGGCGGCCCCCUGGACAAAGACUGACGCUCAGGUGCGAAAGCGUGGGGAGCAAACAGGAUUAGAUACCCCAGUAGUC